rnacentral:rRNA from 1 species
GACGUAGGGUGCAAGCGUUGUCCGGAUUUAUUGGGCGUAAAGAGCUCGUAGGCGGCUCGUCGCGUCGACCGUGAAAACCCGCAGCUUAACUGCGGGCCUGCGGUUGAUACGGGCGGGCUAGAGUUCGGUAGGGGAGACUGGAAUUCCUGGUGUAGCGGUGAAAUGCGCAGAUAUCAGGAGGAACACCGGUGGCGAAGGCGGGUCUCUGGGCCAUUACUGACGCUGAGGAGCGAAAGCGUGGGGAGCGAACAGG